ACUUUAUAUAUAUAUAUAUAUAUAUAUAUAAAGGAUAAGCAUUUUAAAAGGGGCCCGUGAGAAAACUCAUUUAAGUAAAAGGGUUGAGAACCACUGAAUAAAGGGAUCACA